rnacentral:lncRNA from 1 species
CAUCUCCCUCUGUUACUUUCCUUAGCCCUAACUCACUAAUUUGGUUCAAAAUUUUCUCUCCAGUUCGAAGUGCCGAUGGUAGUCUUUUGACAGUUUGACCUUUAAGAAAAUUUUUAUGAUCUUUCUUAAAUGGAUGAUUUUGGUCGAGGAACAUUCUAUGACUAUCAAGUCAAGUUGUUUUCCCACAAAGUUGCCCUUAAUUGAAAGUUUUACUUUUUUGAGAUGUCAAAUCCUUCCACACCUUCCUCCCAUAACAAUGUCAAUUCUUUUAUUAAAGGUUGUAGAAAAACAUCAAUUUAUUGUUUAGGAUUGGUUGGCCCUGGAACAAUGACAGUUAAAAACAUGUACGCCUCUUUCAUACACAUCCAAUGAGGUAGGUUGUUUGGAGUGACAAUCACUAGCCACGAAGAGUAUUUUCUUUUUGAUUGACCAAAUGGCUAGAAACCAUCAGUACAUAACCCCAACCUCACAUUCCUUAGUUCAGCAGCAAAAAAUAAAUGAGUUUCAUUGAAGUACUUCCAAGCCUCAGACUAAUGGAUGAUGCAUUACCCUCUCCUCAUGUAUAUAUGCUCAUGAUGCCAUCUCAUGUCACCGGCUGUAGCAUGAGAUGCAUAUAAUCUUCGCAAUCUAGGAAUCAAAGGAAAAUAAUACAUCUUUUUAUAAGGGAUUAAUUUCCUCUUACGAGAACUAACACGACAUUUAAACCUCUCAUAGCCACAAAACUUGAAAGAUGUGAGGUCUUCAUCGUCACCCCAAUACAACAUACAUCCUGAAUUACGAUAAUCAACCUUUUCAACCCAAGCUACGCACUAGCUUCUUGGUUUGAUAAUAACUUUCAAGCAUUAUGUUAUCUUUAGGUAAAGUCUCUUUCAGCAAUUGCAUCAUUUGGUUAUAUUCCUCUGUCAUAAAGUGUCCUUCAUUUUGAUGUUUAACAUCCUAGAAACUACUGCGAAUUGAGAGAGGGAAGAACCAUGAUACAAUUCUGUAUCAGCAGCCUUUAGCAAAUCAUAAAACCUUCGAGACUUAGGAUUAGGCUCCUCCUCCGUUGAAAGAUUAGUCUUGUCCUUUAUUGAUGGUUCAAAAU